rnacentral:rRNA from 1 species
UACGUAGGGCGCGAGCGUUGUCCGGAAUUAUUGGGCGUAAAGAGCUCGUAGGCGGCCGGUUGCGUCUGCUGUGAAAUCCCGGGGCUUAACCCCGGGCGUGCAGUGGAUACGGGCCGGCUGGAGGCAGGCAGGGGAGAAUGGAAUUCCCGGUGUAGCGGUGAAAUGCGCAGAUAUCGGGAGGAACACCGGUGGCGAAAGCGGCUUCCUGGUCCAGCACCGACGUUCAGGCACGAAAGCGUGGGGAGCAAACAGG